CGGGGGGAGCAAGCGUUGUUCGGAUUUACUGGGCGUAAAGGGCGCGUAGGCGGCCACCGCAAGUCGACUGUGAAAUCUCCGGGCUUAACCCGGAACGGUCAGCCGAUACUGCGGGGCUAGAGUGCAGAAGGGGCAACUGGAAUUCUCGGUGUAGCGGUGAAAUGCGUAGAUAUCGAGAGGAACACCUGCGGCGAAGGCGGGUUGCUGGGCUGACACUGACGCUGAGGCGCGAAAGCUAGGGGAGCGAACGGGAUUAGAUACCCCGGUAGUCCUAGCCUUAAACGAUGAAUGCUUGGUGUCUGGGGUUUUAUAGUCCCCGGGUGCCGUCGCUAACGCUUUAAGCAUUCCGCCUGGGGAGUACGGUCGCAAGACUG
rnacentral:rRNA from 1 species